AGAGUUUGAUCCUGGCUCAGGACGAACGCUGGCGGCGUGCCUAAUACAUGCAAGUCGAACGAACUCUGGUAUUGAUUGGUGCUUGCAUCAUGAUUUACAUUUGAGUGAGUGGCGAACUGGUGAGUAACACGUGGGAAACCUGCCCAGAAGCGGGGGAUAACACCUGGAAACAGAUGCUAAUACUGCAUAACAACUUGGACCGCAUGGUCCGAGCUUGAAAGAUGGCUUCGGCUAUCACUUUUGGAUGGUCCCGCGGCGUAUUAGCUAGAUGGUGGGGUAACGGCUCACCAUGGCAAUGAUACGUAGCCGACCUGAGAGGGUAAUCGGCCACAUUGGGACUGAGACACGGCCCAAACUCCUACGGGAGGCAGCAGUAGGGAAUCUUCCACAAUGGACGAAAGUCUGAUGGAGCAACGCCGCGUGAGUGAAGAAGGGUUUCGGCUCGUAAAACUCUGUUGUUAAAGAAGAACAUAUCUGAGAGUAACUGUUCAGGUAUUGACGGUAUUUAACCAGAAAGCCACGGCUAACUACGUGCCAGCAGCCGCGGUAAUACGUAGGUGGCAAGCGUUGUCCGGAUUUAUUGGGCGUAAAGCGAGCGCAGGCGGUUUUUUAAGUCUGAUGUGAAAGCCUUCGGCUCAACCGAAGAAGUGCAUCGGAAACUGGGAAACUUGAGUGCAGAAGAGGACAGUGGAACUCCAUGUGUAGCGGUGAAAUGCGUAGAUAUAUGGAAGAACACCAGUGGCGAAGGCGGCUGUCUGGUCUGUAACUGACGCUGAGGCUCGAAAGUAUGGGUAGCAAACAGGAUUAGAUACCCUGGUAGUCCAUACCGUAAACGAUGAAUGCUAAGUGUUGGAGGGUUUCCGCCCUUCAGUGCUGCAGCUAACGCAUUAAGCAUUCCGCCUGGGGAGUACGGCCGCAAGGCUGAAACUCAAAGGAAUUGACGGGGGCCCGCACAAGCGGUGGAGCAUGUGGUUUAAUUCGAAGCUACGCGAAGAACCUUACCAGGUCUUGACAUACUAUGCAAAUCUAAGAGAUUAGACGUUCCCUUCGGGGACAUGGAUACAGGUGGUGCAUGGUUGUCGUCAGCUCGUGUCGUGAGAUGUUGGGUUAAGUCCCGCAACGAGCGCAACCCUUAUUAUCAGUUGCCAGCAUUAAGUUGGGCACUCUGGUGAGACUGCCGGUGACAAACCGGAGGAAGGUGGGGAUGACGUCAAAUCAUCAUGCCCCUUAUGACCUGGGCUACACACGUGCUACAAUGGAUGGUACAACGAGUUGCGAACUCGCGAGAGUAAGCUAAUCUCUUAAAGCCAUUCUCAGUUCGGAUUGUAGGCUGCAACUCGCCUACAUGAAGUCGGAAUCGCUAGUAAUCGCGGAUCAGCAUGCCGCGGUGAAUACGUUCCCGGGCCUUGUACACACCGCCCGUCACACCAUGAGAGUUUGUAACACCCAAAGUCGGUGGGGUAACCUUUUAGGAACCAGCCGCCUAAGGUGGGACAGAUGAUUAGGGUGAAGUCCUAACAAGGUA
rnacentral:rRNA from 1 species